rnacentral:lncRNA from 1 species
UUGAUAUCUCAAAUGUAUUACAAUUAGGGGCAUUUUAGUAAACUUACAUGUUAUCAUACCGUAUCAUACAUCAAACCAAACAAAAAAAUCUAUUAUUAAACCGCAGUAACGAUAGAGUUCAUCCAAACAUAAUACUGUACCAUACCAUACUAUAUAUGGUAGCAUACUACACCAUACCAUACAUUAUAAAACCAUGGCAAACCACCAUCCAAACAGGUUAUUAGGAUUGUAUGCAUGAAUCCUCACAAUACAUGUUACUCAGAAAUCAGAAUUGUGAAGAGUCGUGAUAAUUUGACUAGAUUUACGCUUGUUGUCAACUUAACUGCCACCCUCCUCCUUUAUCCCGCUUGGGACAAAUAAACUUAAAGAUCUAAACAUUAAUCAAACAUCAUGACUAUGGUGAUGAGGUGAAGAAGCAGGCAUUGCUAUGCAGGUCGGAUUUCGGUCCCCAGGCAUGAUGAUGACAAUCCUAUUAUGAUCAUGUUGAUCAGCAACUGGUGCAGUCGAUGAUCGUUCAGUCUUUUCUGACGAAGUUUCCCGUUCACCGUAGAAACAUUUUACCAGGCAAUGGAGAGCCAUCAGUCCGAAGAUAAACGCGGCGACGCCAUCGAUGAUGUAGGUCAAUUUUGUAUUAUGGUGCACAGUGCUACCAUCUUCACCAUAGUCCAUAGCUAUGUUAACUUGUUUGUUGUGUACUUGGCAAAUUAAGAAUGUGGAACUUUUAAGUAGCUGAAUGAAUUAGUAGGCAAAGAAUGUUGCUACACUUUGAUGUCCUGUUGAUAAGUACCAAAAAGCAAGAAUGAAUAAAAUAAAUUUGCAGAUAUAAAUUAAAAUUGUGGUUGGACAACCUCACGAUUUUACAUGCUAUCUUACUUUGAUAUUGUAUGUUAUAUGAAAAUUGAUACUUAUAAAACAAUUUUAAAAAACGUUGGAAAGAAAUUGAUAAAACACAUAAAUUUCUGUUUGAAAUAGAAAGAGCACUAUUAAUCUUUGUACUAGCUAGAAUUAUACCUUUAGGCCUUCUACUCAACUUUUGGAGAAGCUACAACAAGAUGAUGGUGGAAAUUAAAUUACCUUCAGUUCAUCUUGAAGCUAACCCUGUUGAGGCUCAGGUUUUUUGAUUGGAGAUUUGUAGGGUUGAAAAGCAAGAAAUUAAAGUCUUAAUUAGUUGGGGAAUUGGGGUCGGUUGGUGAAUCCACGCGUCUUCACCAUGCAAACAUGUGUACUGUUAACCGCUAUACUAUUCGUGUGAGUUCUUUGUUGUUCAAAUCAAGAAAUCAACUAUUGAUGUAUGUCCUAUUUGUGAGAAUAAAG